rnacentral:rRNA from 1 species
GGAGGCAGCAGUGGGGAAUAUUGGACAAUGGGCGCAAGCCUGAUCCAGCCAUGCCGCGUGUGUGAAGAAGGCCUUCGGGUUGUAAAGCACUUUCAGCGGGGAGGAAGGGUGUUGUGUUAAUAGCACAGCAUUUUGACGUUACCCGCAGAAGAAGCACCGGCUAACUCCGUGCCAGCAGCCGCGGUAAUACGGAGGGUGCAAGCGUUAAUCGGAAUUACUGGGCGUAAAGCGCACGUAGGCGGUAUGUUAAGUUGGAUGUGAAAGCCCCGGGCUCAACCUGGGAAUUGCAUUCAAAACUGGCAUGCUAGAGUAUGUGAGAGGGGGGUAGAAUUCCAAGUGUAGCGGUGAAAUGCGUAGAGAUUUGGAGGAAUACCAGUGGCGAAGGCGGCCCCCUGGCACAAUACUGACGCUCAGGUGCGAAAGCGUGGGGAGCAAACAGGAUU